GCUUCCUUCAGCAGCACAUAUUCUAAAAUUGAAAUGAAACAGAAGAUUAGCAUGGCCCCUGUGCAAGAACAACAUACAAAUGUGUGAAACGUUCCAUAAUUUU